GCUCUAAUUUUAGCUUUUCAGUCACUCAAUUUGUGCAGUUUUGUACUGCAAAGUUUCUUUUCGUAGUGAUGUUCGAUUCGCGAACAAAUGGCUCAUUUGUGUCGAUUCUUUUAAACAAAUCUGAAAAAUAGGUUCGCAAACAAAGUCGCGAAUCUGAAUCAAUAGCAAAUCUCCCACAACGCGGCGUGAGUUUCUCCUGAGGAAUCUAAACUGGAUUAAAAACUCUCCAUGCAAGUUUUAACUCUUCUUGCAGUGCAUUAUGGGAUUGCCUUUUCUGUGAAGGUACAUGUCAUGCUGCCUCAGAAUCUGGCACUAAGAAGGGAGUGACCCGUGAUGCCUUACAAUGCUGUCUAGGGUUCUCGGUCCAUCUUUCAUGUGCACAGCUGCUCACCUUAUAUCCGCCAAUAUCCCUGCGGCUCCCCUCUGCCUCUCUCUGCCCCGCACCGUCUGCAAGAUCGUCCCGCCGGACGUGCAAACACACAAGCUCUCGUACAGACAGUGAUGGAGGGCGGCACUGACUCCAGACCAGCGCGUCCACGACACACUGACACACUGUCCCGCGCUCACAGAGUCCAUCGAUCCGAUCCGGAUGGACGGCCGAAGACAAAGACGCACACGUACUGCAGCUUCAGAGCCGUUUCUACACCGCUAAACUGAGCAAAUCUAGAAUGAACUCAAGCACAGCUCAAAACUUCACAACUGACUGAAUCUAAUUCCCUUUAUAUCUUCUUUGGAUGCUUUGCUGUUGUAGCUGAAGUCUUUUGAAAAACUCAUAAAGCACUGGACACUCUUAUGAGACACAGGCGUGUUUUUAAGUCAGCUUUCUCUUGUGUUUGUGGUCAGAAUUCAGUGUGUGAGAAACUGAAUUCAGCCACAGCAGAAUGUUAUAGAGAUCAGAUCUACAUCAGGCCCAAAUAUUUAUUAUAGACUAUAAAAGUAUUUUAAUAUUUUGAAUCAGUUUUAUUUCCUGUUUUAUAUUUAUUUCAGUUUUAGUUUCAGUAAUUUCACUGUACAGUAAGUACUUUUUUCAGUAUUUCUCAUUUUUGUUUAAUUUUUUCAUCUAAAAUUAGUAUUUUAUUUUUAAUCAGCUCUUUCAAUUAACAAAAAGAUUUGUAAGAGUUUUAGUUCAUAACAGGACUGUUGUCUGUUUUUCAAGUCUUGUGAAAUCAUGUGAUAAUCAUAAAUGAGAAUCUUCAGUGAGAUUUUAACUAGAUGGAGUCACUGAGUCGUCUGAUUUAGGAACAAUCAUUCUAACGAUUAAAUGAUUCACUGAAAAGAUUCACUUCAACGGAAUGAUUCCUUAGCAUUACAUGAAUUUUAAAGUCUCUUAUGCUCUUCCAUGUUGAUUUAAUAAAUCCUUAAUGAAUAAAAGUAUUAAUCUCUUUCAUAAAUUCAUACUGAAUUUUGAACAGUAGUGUAUUUUUUAUCACAGAAUUUAUUAAUCUUUGUUAAUGUCAAUCAAUAAAAAUAUAAUUGUUCAUGUUAGCUCACAGUGAAUUAACUACUGCUAACAGAUACACCUUUUAACUUUAUAAACGGAAAAUUAACACAAUUACAAAAUUAUCAUUAGUUUGAUUAAUUCAUAUUCCGUAGAAGUAUUAUUAGUCAUGUUAAGUAAUGUAGUUAAGUAAUGUUAAUGAAUGAGAACUUAUUGUAAAGCAUUAAUGAUUCAUUCACAAAUUUGCUGUUUCUCUCAUGAAUCAUGUAAUAUUGACUAAAAUUAAAAUUGGAAUUCAUAAAAUAUCACAUGACUUCAGAAGACCUGGACUAAAGCACUCCAGUCAUAUGGAUGCAUUUAAGGGUCUUUUAAUGGUGCUUUUAAGUCCUUUUUAACCUUAAUAAGCUUCAGUUGGCAUUCAACCUGUAAACGAUGCCAGAAUGAUGAUUUUUGGGUGAACUGUUGCUUUAAUACGGCAGUCUGAACUGUUGAUAUGUGCAUGUGUAAUUUGUGUCCCUGUGCUGUUCAGAGCGAACGAGAGCGAAGCGUGAACGUUCAGCAGAGGAGCGCGUCACACUUUCUGAGUCCUUCAGAGAGGAAAGUUCAUUAAACACCUCUGGGACGAGUCUCCUUAGUUUAGCGGUGACAUCUGGGUGUGCAACGGUUAAAACGUUCGCACCUGUUUCUGAACGCUCUGCCACACACACACUCGACAGACGGCAGAGAGAGAGAAAGAGAGAGAGAGUUAUUCUGCGGCCCUUCACCUGCUUUGAUAAAAUAAGGCAAUUACUGUGAGACAAGCGCGAGAAGUGCAGGGGACGGCAGUCAGGCGUUUACUUAAACUGGAGUUUCUACUUCAAAGGGCCGAAGGAGCCGCAGCGGAGCGAGAGCGGAGGAGAGCUCGCCAUCUCAUCAGAAACACAUCUGAUAUUCCUCUCACCCUAAUCCUCACACAGCGGCCGCCAUUAGCCUGAACACACACACACACACACACUCACUCACUCACUCACUCACUCACACACACACACAAAUUCAACAGACAGAGCUUUUUAGUACAAGCGACAGCUGAGCGAUGAAUCUCUUUGCAAGUCAAGGUGAAAUAUCGUAGCUUUCCAUUCAAAGUUGAGAAUUUAACUUGUGUGUAAAAUUGGAAUAUUGCAAAAAACAUCUGCAAAUAAAGCAGCGUUUCAUCCUAUGUGUUCAAGAGAACAAAAUCGUCUCUUCCUGGGAAAUUUGCACAAAAUAUCUGCAAUAAAAAUGUAAGUUCUUUCAAUCGGGCUCUUUUUUCCUCCAUCAUAAAUGAGUUGGUCUGAGAGCGUCAGACGAAACACAAUAAACGCUGUCAUGUGAUCUUGCGUUCGGAUGCUGGUGUUUGGGAACACAAGACGCUUCUGGAGGAAUUAAACCAAAUCAUUGUGAUGACAGACUUUGACUCAGGCGUUUCAGAACCACCAAACCAACAUUUGAGAUGCUUUGAUGCGAUUGGUCCACUGGUUAGUCCAGUUAUCCAAUCACAGCCUCUGCUGAGGCAAAGUCACAUGAGGUUUUGAGGGAUUUAUUCGGUAAAUGAAAUUCAGUGGGGUUUUGUCAAACCUGGCAUAGAUUUUCUUCAUCUGAACACACAAAUGAGAUUUCAGAGGUUCUAAUUUUAUUGUGACUAAUCAAAUGUAAGUAAAUGUGUAAAUAAAAGUGCCUUUGACUUUUGAUCUGUUCAUCUCUGAGUUAUAUCCUGUAAUAUCCUAAUGAAAAAAACUAGAAACUGUGUUAAAUUAGAAAUUGCAAAAAAAAAAAAAAAGUAUGAUCUCAGAGUUUUGGACCCUGCUGUAUGUAAGU